GUCUAUGGCCAUGCUACCCUGAACAAGCCCGAUUCCGUCUGAUCUCAGAAGCUAAGCAGGGUUGGGCCUGGUUAGUACUUGGAUGGGAGACCACCUAAGAAGACCAGGUGUUGUAGGCA
rnacentral:rRNA from 1 species